rnacentral:rRNA from 1 species
AGCGAACGCUGGCGGCAGGCCUAACACAUGCAAGUCGAACGAAGUCUUCGGACUUAGUGGCGGACGGGUGAGUAACACGUGGGAACGUGCCCUUUGGUACGGAAUAACUCAGGGAAACUUGAGCUAAUACCGUAUGUGCCCUUCGGGGGAAAGAUUUAUCGCCAUUGGAGCGGCCCGCGUCUGAUUAGCUAGUUGGUGAGAUAAAGGCUCACCAAGGCGACGAUCAGUAGCUGGUCUGAGAGGAUGAUCAGCCACAUUGGGACUGAGGCACGGCCCAAACUCCUACGGGAGGCAGCAGUGGGGAAUCUUGCGCAAUGGGCGAAAGCCUGACGCAGCCAUGCCGCGUGAAUGAUGAAGGUCUUAGGAUUGUAAAAUUCUUUCACCGGGGACGAUAAUGACGGUACCCGGACAAGAAGCCCCGGCUAACUUCGUGCCAGCCGCCGCGGUAAGAC